rnacentral:rRNA from 1 species
CCUACGGGUGGCAGCAGUGAGGAAUAUUGGUCAAUGGACGAGAGUCUGAACCAGCCAAGUAGCGUGAAGGAUGACUGCCCUAUGGGUUGUAAACUUCUUUUAUAUGGGAAUAAAAUGUUCCACGUGUGGGAUUUUGUAUGUACCAUAUGAAUAAGGAUCGGCUAACUCCGUUCCAGCAGCCGCGGUAAUACGGAGGAUCCGAGCGUUAUCCGGAUUUAUUGGGUUUAAAGGGAGCGUAGGUGGAUUGUUAAGUCAGUUGUGAAAGUUUGCGGCUCAACCGUAAAAUUGCAGUUGAAACUGGCAGUCUUGAGUACAGUAGAGGUGGGCGGAAUUCGUGGUGUAGCGGUGAAAUGCUUAGAUAUCACGAAGAACGCCGAUUGCGAAGGCAGUUCACUGGACUGCAACUGACACUGAGGCUCGAAAGUGUGGGUAUCAAACAGGAUUAGAUACCCCAGUAGUC